rnacentral:misc_RNA from 1 species
ACGACGCACUAACCACGCGGCAGUUGUUCAGAAACGUUCCGCGAGCCGGCGAUAAGGCAAAGAAUCCAAAAUGCUGUGUGUAGUCUUUGCCCGCGAAGUGGCGGGCAUUUUUUUCA